rnacentral:rRNA from 1 species
AAAACAACUACGGAGGGUGCAAGCGUUGUUCGGAAUUACUGGGCGUAAAGCGCGCGUAGGCGGUUUGUUAAGUCAGAUGUGAAAGCCCAUGGCUCAACCAUGGACGUGCAUUUGAAACUGGCAGACUUGAGUAUUGGAGGGGGUGGUGGAAUUCCCGGUGUAGAGGUGAAAUUCGUAGAUAUCGGGAGGAAUACCAGUGGCGAAGGCGACCACCUGGCCAAAUACUGACGCUGAGGUGCGCGAGCCUAUGGUAAAAACAUG